UUCCAGAUGAACUACCCUAUCUGAGGGUACCUCUGCACACAAUAAUAAAAUUAACACCAGUUGCAUAUGGUUGUAGAGUGGAACAUAUUAAACUGCCAAUCGAUGCUGUGGAUACCCAUCGUGCCAAACCUAAGGUUCCCGGAGAUUUGGAAGAAAAGUUCAUAUUGAGGAACAAAAAGAAGUCGGGCACAUCAACUUGAAUUGACUGCCUAGACUAAUUGAUUGGUGCCUGAAAUUGAUAUUCUGGGAUCUACACUCAAUGUGAUUAUUAUUACUUGGUUUAUUGAGUAUCUAACCAAACUGUCCAAAAAUCAAUAUUUUAAGAUCUAUUUGUUGUCAUGUAUUUAAAUUGAAAGUGCAGUUUUAUAUCAAUUUAUUUAGAAAUUCUUAUAUUUUAAGUGGGGGUUCGCUUAAAAUUCAACUUUGAACCUUAGUAAUUUGUAGCUGUGGUAAAAUUAUACCUGUAUAUAAAUUGUUAAUAUACUUUUAUUUUAUAAAUGGUCUUUAUUAGGAUGUUGUAAGUUUUAAAUAAAAUUAUUGUAAAAGUCGA